rnacentral:rRNA from 1 species
AAAGGAAUUGACGGGACCCCGCACAAGCGGUGGAGCAUGUGGUUUAAUUCGAAGCAACGCGAAAAACCUUACCAAGUCUUGACAUCCUCUUGAUCGCUUUAGAGAUAGAGCUUCCUUUCGGGGCAAGAGAGACAGGUGGUGCAUGGUUGUCGUCAGCUCGUGUCGUGAGAUGUUGGGUUAAGUCCCGCAACGAGCGCAACCCUUACUUUUAGUAGCCAGCGAUUAAAGUCGGGCACACUAGAGGGACUGCCGCGGAUAACGCGGAGGAAGGUGGGGAUGACGUCAAAUCAUCAUGCCCCUUAUGAUUUGGGCAACACACGUGCUACAAUGGCUGUAACAAAGUGAAGCAAAGCGGUGACGUGGAGCCAACCACAAAAAAACAGUCUCAGUUCGGAUUGUAGUCUGCAACUCGACUACAUGAAGCUGGAAUCGCUAGUAAUCGCGAAUCAGCAUGUCGCGGUGAAUACGUUCUCGGGGUUUGUACACACCGCCCGU